rnacentral:tRNA from 1 species
GUGGGUGUAGCUCAGCUGGUUAGAGCACGAGAUUGUGGAUCUCGGGGUCGCGGGUUCGAGCCCCGUCACCCACCCCA